rnacentral:lncRNA from 12 species
UUUAUCUUUAGCUAAUAGCUCCCUGACAGUUUCUCUGGACAUUUAGGGAUGCCUCCUUGUUGAAAAACCUCUUCAUGUUUUUUUUAAGACAUCGGCACACCCUAUGACUUCACCAACAACCGACUGCUAUGGAAAGAACAGGGAAACACAGAGCUCAUUUCUGCAGGGAGGAAUGGAAAGCUUUCCUGGCCAGAAAGGUCCUCUCCAGUCCUCUCCAGGAGAGCUUCCUAAGUAAAAGAAUCAGGGGCAAGUAUUGUGGGAAUGCUGGUGUCUUCUCUCCCAGAAAACCCCUGGUCUCCAUAUGCAAGGUGGCCUUCAUUCUUCGCAAACAAAGAGGAAUAUAUAGGUAGGUUGUCUAAGUCAAACCAAAGGCUUCGUCAUAAUAGUUCUCAAAUCUGAGUCUGUCUGGACUAUAUCUGCAUAUUAAAGAGAGAGCAUAAACAUCUGCUGUGAAUUGACCGUCUAUCCCCACCAGAACAAAGAGCAGCUGGCAGCUUCUUUAGCUAAAGAAGGAAAAAAUCUGGUUUGGCUAUUCCAUUCCACAAGGACUUAGCAUAAACCUAUUGUCAGAAUCAGAGAGAAGCUUCCAUUAAUAAGGCUUCUGGACAAAAACUAAAAAUGUGUAUGCAAAUGCCUCACUAGAAGUACUGGAGGAUACUCUUUCUUCCAAUACCCCCUGUCCUUCCCUGCACAAGUCUUCUCUAAAGCCCACUCAUCAUAAUCGCCAACAGCUAUAGGAUCAGAUGUUUACAACCUCAAAUCCAGUGGAAAAAAGGUAACUUUUCCCACCAGCUUUCCGUUUAAAGUUCCAAGAUGGAUUUCUCAUUGGUCCUACUUGGGACCAAUCACUGUGACCAGAAAGAAUAGAAAUACUGAUUGUCCAGUCCUAGGUCAUAUGUCUUGUAGGCAAGAUGUUGUGCUUUUCAAGUUCAUACAAAACAGAGGGCCACUGUAGUCAGGAAGGAAUACAUUCUCUAGGGAAUGUGAUGAGGGAAAGUGUUUUUUUCCACAAGACCACUGGUUUUAAGUAGUCACAAACCACAGAGGUCUUCCAACACAAUCCCAAGUCUGAGAGAGGCUGGGAUACCUGGCACCACCCUUGGUCCUAAAGGACCUAGGUAUCUGGUCCUAAAGGAUACCUCUAAGACUGAAAGUGUUCCAUAAGCAGCAUCGUAGUACUGGCGGCUGUCUGAACUUG